GUGGGGAAUAUUGGACAAUGGGCGAAAGCCUGAUCCAGCCAUGCCGCGUGUGUGAAGAAGGUCUUCGGAUUGUAAAGCACUUUAAGUUGGGAGGAAGGGCAGUAAGUUAAUACCUUGCUGUUUUGACGUUACCGACAGAAUAAGCACCGGCUAACUUCGUGCCAGCAGCCGCGGUAAUACGAAGGGUGCAAGCGUUAAUCGGAAUUACUGGGCGUAAAGCGCGCGUAGGUGGUUUUGUAAGUUGGAGGUGAAAUCCCCGGGCUCAACCUGGGAACUGCCUCCAAAACUGAAUGACUAGAGGACGGUAGAGGGUAGUGGAAUUUCCUGUGUAGCGGUGAAAUGCGUAGAUAUAGGAAGGAACACCAGUGGCGAAGGCGACUACCUGGACUGAUACUGACACUGAGGUGCGAAAGCGUGGGGAGCAAACAGGAUUAGAAACCCUUGUAGUCC
rnacentral:rRNA from 1 species